ACGAACGCUGGCGGCGUGCUUAACACCUGCCAGUCGCACGGAAAGGCCCUGCUUUUGUGGGGUGCUCGAGUGGCGAACGGGUGAGUAACACGUGAGUAACCUGCCCUUGACUUUGGGAUAACUUCAGGAAACUGGGGCUAAUACCGGAUAGGAGCUCCUGCUGCAUGGUGGGGGUUGAAAAGUUUCGGCGGUUGGGGAUGGACUCGCGGCUUAUCAGCUUGUUGGUGGGGUAGUGGCUUACCAAGGCUUUGACGGGUAGCCGGCCUGAGAGGGUGACCGGCCACAUUGGGACUGAGAUACGGCCCAGACUCCUACGGGAGGCAGCAGUGGGGAAUAUUGCACAAUGGGCGGAAGCCUGAUGCAGCAACGCCGCGUGCGGGAUGACGGCCUUCGGGUUGUAAACCGCUUUCGCCUGUGACGAAGCGUGAGUGACGGUAAUGGGUAAAGAAGCACCGGCUAACUACGUG
rnacentral:rRNA from 1 species